CCCUCGAGGCCCGAAGAACAGACGGCCCAGCCCACUCAGAACGAAACGGUGUCUCGGCUCGACGGCUCGACACGCGCGUCUAAGCGUCCUCGACUCAACGGCUACUAGAUUAGGGUUUUACCUUUGUUGUCUCGCCUUGUUGUAUCUCUCCGGCAAAGCCUUCGAGGCUCCGGCAUCUUUCAGUUCACAUAUUUCCUUUCCUUGUAACCGACGAAACACUCUUCCGANNN
rnacentral:lncRNA from 1 species